GGACAGUAUCCCUUUCCCGCAGGGACAGGGCUGCCAAGUUGGCUCUGGUUUUUGAGGGAAACACGGCUCCCAGCACCCAUGCCCCCCCCAGCGACGCCCCUUCCUGGGAUCCUUCUUCAGGCUCUGUAGGCCCUGAAUCUUUAUGCUGUAUCCGAAGUGUUCCAGAAGGAAUCAGUCUGAAAUCUCGAUCAUUCUGUGUUUGGGCUUCAUACUGUGCGGUUGUUCUCACUUUGAAAUGAGAAGUUUGAGAUGCCAGUAUUUAACCCCAAGGAUGAACAGCUUGGGACGCCAGAGAGGCACGAUGAGAACUGGAAUCAAGACACGAAGACCCCCUGCCCCAUGCCCAGUCCGGCUCCAUACUCUUGCUAGGAUGUGACAGCCAUGCUGAACCCACCCGGGGGAGCUCCGACCAACUCUGCCCGCCUCACUGAUCGGUACUGGAAUUUCGCACUGGGGGCAGCGCCCAGUGUUUGGUCAGAAGGAGGUUUUCUAUUUGGGGGACUUCCCUGGUGUCAUAGUGGGACACAAUGCAGGGGACACAGGAUCGAUCCUUGGUCCAAGAAGAUCCCACAUGCUGCAGAGCAACUAAGCACCACACACCACAACUACUGAGCCUGCGUAUUGCAAUUACUGAAGCCUGCACACCUAGAGCCUGUGCUCCACAGCAAGAGAAGUCACCACAGUAAGAAGCCCGGGCACCACAACGAAGAAUAGCCCCCACUCAUCACAAAGAGAGAAAGCCCCCAUGCAGCAACAAAGACCCCAUG